GACGAACGCUGGCGGCGUGCUUAACACAUGCAAGUCGAACGGAAAGGCCCUGCUUUUGUGGGGUGCUCGAGUGGCGAACGGGUGAGUAACACGUGUGUAACCUGCCCUUGACUUUGGGAUAACUUCAGGAAACUGGGGCUACUACCGUAUAGGAGCUCCUGCUGCAUGGUGGGGGUUGGAUAGUUUCGGCGGUCGGGGAUGGACUCGCGGCUUAUCAGCUUGUUGGUGGGGUAGUGGCUUACCAAGGCUUUGACGGGUAGCCGGCCUGGGAGGGUGACCGGCCACCAUGGGACUGCGAUACGGACCAGUGUCCUACGGGAGGCAGCAGUGGGGAACAUUGCACAAUGAGCCGAAGCCUGAUGCGGAAACGCCGCGUGCGUGAUGACGGCCUUCGGGUUGUAAAACGCUUUCGCCUGUGACGAAGCGGGAGUGACGGUAAUGAGUAAAGAAGCACCGGCUAACUACGUG
rnacentral:rRNA from 1 species